rnacentral:rRNA from 1 species
GCAAGAUUAAAACUCAAAGGAAUAGACGGGGACCCGCACAAGUGGUGGAGCAUGUGGUUUAAUUCGAAGAUACGCGAAGAACCUUACCUAGCCUUGACAUUGAUUGAACGGACCAGAGAUGGACCGGUGCCCUUCGGGGAACAUGAAAACAGGUGCUGCACGGCUGUCGUCAGCUCGUGUCGUGAGGUGUUGGGUUAAGUCCCGCAACGAGCGCAACCCUCGUCAAUAGUUGCCAGCAGGUUAAGCUGGGCACUCUAUUGAGACUGCCUUCGUAAGGAGGAGGAAGGUGAGGACGACGUCAAGUCAUCAUGGCCCUUAUGGCUAGGGCUACACACGUGCUACAAUGGGGCGUACAGAGAGUUGCGAUACCGCGAGGUGGAGCCAAUCUCAUAAAGCGUCUCUCAGUUCGGAUUGAAGUCUGCAACUCGACUUCAUGAAGCUGGAAUCACUAGUAAUCGUAGAUCAGCAAUGCUACGGUGAAUACGUUCCCGGGUCUUGUACUCACCGCCCGUCACACCAUGGGAGUUGAUUUCACCCGAAAUUGGGAAGCUAACCUUCGGGGGGCUACCACUUACGGUGGAAUUAGCGACUGGGGUGAAGUCGUAACAAGGUA